CUUCAGGGAGCCGAGGAAGAGCGGCGCCGACCGGUCCUGCCCGUAGGUGGCCAGCAGCGCCUGCGCCUC
rnacentral:antisense_RNA from 1 species